GAGUGGCUGAUAGAUGAUGUUCAGGAGUGGCUGAUAGAUGAUGUUCAGGAGUGGCUGAUAGAUAGUGUUCAGGAGUGGCUGAUAGAUAGUGUUUAAGUGUUCCAGAUAGAUAGUGUUCAGGAGUGGUUAAUAGAUAGCGUUCAGUAGUGGCUGAUAGAUAGCGUUCAGGAGUGGCUGAUAGAUAGUGUUUAAGUGUUCCAGAUAGAUAGUGUUCAGGAGUGGCUGAUAGAUAGCGUUCAGGAGUGGCUGAUAGAUAGUGUUCAGGAGUGGCUGAUAGAUAGUGUUUAAGUGUUCCAGAUAGAUAGUGUUCAGGAGUGGUUAAUAGAUAGCGUUCAGUAGUGGCUGAUAGAUAGCGUUCAGGUGUGGCUGAUAGACAGUUUUCAGGAGUGGCUGAUAGAUAGUGUUCAGAAGUGGCUGAUAGAUAAUUUUCAGGAGUGGCUGAUAGAUAAUAUUUAGGUGUUCCAGAUAGAUAGUGUUCAGGAGUGGCUGAUAGAUAGUGUUCAGGAGUGGCUGAUAGAUGAUGUUCAGGAGUGGCUGAUAGAUAGUGUUCAGGAGUGGCUGAUAGAUAGUGUUUAUGAGUGGCUGAUAGAUAGUGUUCAGGAGUUGCUGAUAGAUAGUGUUCAGGAGUGACUGAUAGAUAGUGUUUAUGUGUUCCAGAUAGAUAGUGUUCAGGAGUGGCUGAUAGAUGAUGUUCAGGAG